AGCGGUCGCCAUGUUGGUAUCGGGGACUCGGCCGGCAUCGUUAGCACAGAAGAUCCUCAGUCAUAGUUAACAAAAUGGAAAAAAAAUUAGCUGUGUUUUUAAGAUUCCAGUGGUGGCCAUCAACUGCUCAGGAAAGCAGCCCAGAAUCACUUCACAACAGGUUUCCAAAGGAUCAUCAUUCAUCAGCACAGAAGGGUGGGAAAGAGAAGGCUGUUCAAAUUCUGAAAAGCCAGAGCUGCAAAGGAGUUCAAAGAUGCAGUGCAGUUGGCCCACUCAGUAGAGUUUCACUAGUGGUUCUGAUGUGGACUGAAGAUUACACGCUGGAUUGAAGUGGCCGGUCUGGAGCAGCUGUAGUUCAUCAUUCUUGCUGAUUGUGGACGAGUAAGAGCCCGCGUUGGCCCCGAUCGGCGAUCGCUGGCCAAAGCCCACCACCAGUUUGGUGAUAGGCGUUGGCUGUGAUAUCUAGUGUCGCCUAUGUGUGAAAAGGACAAGUUGAUAACAAAACCUGUUGCGUCAUGUUAUUAACCCGCGCCCGGGUGGCCCUCAGCCAACUUGGGGGGGGGGGGAGGUGUAUUCGGCCACACUAGGUUAUCUUGGAAUGUAGCAAAGCUGGAAAGACGCAGUAAAAUCAAUCUAUAGAUCGCUAUUUUUCUUCAGAAUCAUACAGGUCAUUUUUGAUCAGGUCAUCGCUGAGGUCACUGGAGGUCACUUAAAGUAAAAUGAUGACGAAUUUUGGCCCCCGAUUUUGACAACUUCACAAAUUGGUUCAUAAUUCGGGAACCAAAGAAGCUACAGCGCCGCGGAAAAGCGAAUUCGAUAGCUCUUUCUAAAAUCUUUCAGGUUCUCAGAUUUGAGCUAAGGUCAACUAGGGUUAAGCCUCCAAAGGGCAAAAACUGAACAAUCGGCUUGCUUCGGAAGUCGUCUUUUCUUUAAUUUUUUUUAACUGAUACCAACCUUUUAUUACGUUGAUUUUACCGGCACUGCGUUUCUCUCGUCUUCUUGGCCUAACAAGGUCAGCUUAAUAAAUUUGACCUCAGGUCAAUGUCGCAGAAAAUGCCAUUUUGCAUGUCAUUGAUUCGUUACAUUGAAAUUGAGGUUAACAUCAGUAGCGGCGGAACACCUUCAAUCGAGGGGGCAUUGCCGACUUUUGGUCUCAUUCUUUCCAUGCAACGGCCAUAGGGCUAAUGUUAAAAUGCCAAAAUCAAAGGGGGCACGGUGCCCCGGUGCCCUCGGCCUGUUCCGCCGCCUAUGAUUAUGAUGCUUUUAGCGCUCUGGCCACGUUCCAUCUAAAAUCGAUGUACAAAAAUAAACUGUUGGGACUUGGGAGGCGUUACAUGACCUGAGAUGACCUCAGGAGCAUACGAUAGAUCCCGAUGUUUGAGUGCUUUUGUUUCAAAAGCAGAACAUUUCGUCUUUCGAGUUCCUCAUACUGACUGAAACUGGAGACGUCGCAAAGUUGACCUGACCCUAGGUCACCACCGAUAUCAAAAUUAAAGAUAUUCAAGAUGUUGGUACUGAUUCUCUCAUGCAAUAGCUCGAGUUUCAAACUUCUACUUCAUGGUGACCUGACCUGACCUUAGGUGACAUGGGGUUACUUUUUUCACAAUUGAUGCGAAUCGAUGCAUUAUACAUAAGCUAUACUAAGUUUCGUGUCGUUUUAUCUAUGCAAGCACAAAAUUGUCAGGUGUGGCCAAAAACGCCCCCACGGCCCACCCACCUGGGGAACGUUAAAGCAGUGAUGUAUUUUUUUCGGUGUAUUCCACGAUGCAUCGAUCGGUGUACUUGAUAAUGUAUUAUUUAUUGCUGCGUGUGUACGCUUUUCCUCUGUUCAGUGUGAUCUGUGAUAGGAAAACUACCGAUAUAUCUCCACGCGCAUGACUGAAAGAGCUGGC
rnacentral:lncRNA from 1 species